CCUACGGGAGGCAGCAGUAGGGAAUAUUGCUCAAUGGGCGAAACCCUGAAGCAGCAACGCCGCGUGGAGGAUGAAUGUUUUAGGAUUGUAAACUCCUUUUGUUAGAGAAGUUUAUCACGGUAUCUAACGAAUAAGCCCCGGCUAACUCCGUGCCAGCAGCCGCGGUAAUACGGAGGGUGCAAGCGUUACUCGGAAUCACUGGUCUUAAAGAGUGCUGAGGCGGGGUAAUAAGUCAGAUGUGAAAUCCUGCAGCUUAACUACAGAACUGCAUUUGAAACUGGUACUCUGGAGUGUGGGUGAGGUAGGUGGAAUUCGUGGUGUAGGGGUAAAAUCCGUAGAGAUCAAGAGGAAUACUCAGUGCGAAGGCGACCUGCUGGAACAUUACUGACGUUGAUGCACGAAAGCGUGGGGAGCAAACAGGAUUAGAUACCCCAGUAGUC
rnacentral:rRNA from 1 species